rnacentral:rRNA from 1 species
UACAGAGGUCUCAAGCGUUGUUCGGAUUCAUUGGGCGUAAAGGGUGCGUAGGUGGCGCCGUAAGUCGGUUGUGAAAUUUCGGAGCUUAACUCCGAAACUGCAUUCGAUACUGCGGUGCUUGAGGACUGGAGAGGAGACUGGAAUUCAUGGUGUAGCAGUGAAAUGCGUAGAGAUCAUGAGGAAGACCAGUGGCGAAGGCGGGUCUCUGGACAGUUCCUGACGCUGAGGCACGAAGGCCAGGGGAGCAAACGGG